UCUGGUCAGGACGAACGCUGGCGGCGUGCCUAAUACAUGCAAGUCGAACGGUCUUUCUAUGGAAGCUUGCUUCCACUGAGAAGAUAGUGGCGAACGGGUGAGUAACACGUGGGUAACCUGCCCAUAAGAGGGGGGAUAACAUCCGGAAACGGGUGCUAAUACCGCAUAGUUUUUCUUGAUCGCAUGAUCGGGAAAGGAAAGACGGCCUUUGUGCUGUCGCUUAAGGAUGGACCCGCGGCGUAUUAGUUAGUUGGUGAGGUAACGGCCCACCAAGACGAUGAUACGUAGCCGACCUGAGAGGGUGAUCGGCCACAUUGGGACUGAGACACGGCCCAAACUCCUACGGGAGGCAGCAGUAGGGAAUCUUCCGCAAUGGACGAAAGUCUGACGGAGCAACGCCGCGUGAGUGAAGAAAGGUUUUCGGAUCGUAAAACUCUGUUGUCAGAGAAGAACAAGCUGGAGAGUAACUGCUCCAGCCUUGACGGUAUCUGACCAGAAAGCCACGGCUAACUACGUGCCAGCCGCCGC
rnacentral:rRNA from 1 species